rnacentral:rRNA from 1 species
UACGUAGGGUGCGAGCGUUGUCCGGAAUUAUUGGGCGUAAGGGCUCGUAGGCGGUUUGUCGCGUCGGGAGUGAAAACUCAGGGCUUAACCCUGAGCCUGCUUCCGAUACGGGCAGACUAGAGGUAUGCAGGGGAGAACGGAAUUCCUGGUGUAGCGGUGAAAUGCGCAGAUAUCAGGAGGAACACCGGUGGCGAAGGCGGUUCUCUGGGCAUUACCUGACGCUGAGACGCGAAAGCGUGGGGAGCAAACAGG